AGCAGCUUGAGAUGGAAAAAGAAAUGAAAAGGCUUGAACUUGAACUCCAGAGAAAGAAUUAAGCAAAAGAGCAAGAAGAAAGAGCAAAAGAAAUGGAAAUGCCAAAGCUUGAACUUGAUUUUCGAAGACAGAGAUCAGAUACCAUGAACUGGCUAGAGAACAAUUUAGGUUACGCAGUGAAAGAGAGUCUAGCAGUUCGGAUGAGGAAUUGAGUCCAUUCUGAGCUUUGAUAUGACAGACUCCUUGUUUAUUGUCUAAGUUCACUGAAGACGGAGUUGAGGGAUAUUUUAUCUCGUUUGAAAAGGUGGUUCCAAAGCUGAGUGGCAAAAGACAUAUGGACUCUCAUUUUACAAAGUGUCUUGUUUGGGAAGCUAUGGAUGUGUAUUCUAGCCUUUCAGAAGAACAAUCUUCAGAUUAUGAGGUGAAGCAGCUUGAGAUGGAAAAAGAAAUGAAAAGGCUUGAACUUGAACUCCAGAGAAAGAAUUAAGCAAAAGAGCAAGAAGAAAGAGCAAAAGAAAUGGAAAUGCCAAAGCUUGAACUUGAUUUUCGAAGACAGAGAUCAGAUACCAUGAACUGGCUAGAGAACAAUUUAGGUUACGCAGUGAAAGAGAGUCUAGCAGUUCGGAUGAGGAAUUGAGUCCAUUCUGAGCUUUGAUAUGACAGACUCCUUGUUUAUUGUCUAAGUUCACUGAAGACGGAGUUGAGGGAUAUUUUAUCUCGUUUGAAAAGGUGGUUCCAAAGCUGAGUGGCAAAAGACAUAUGGACUCUCAUUUUACAAAGUGUCUUGUUUGGGAAGCUAUGGAUGUGUAUUCUAGCCUUUCAGAAGAACAAUCUUCAGAUUAUGAGAGGAGGACCACAUCAGGAGCAUGAAGCCUGGUGGCCCAGCUGUGUACCUGAUGACUUACAGAGAGCAGAGAAGACAGAGGAGAGAGCGACUGAAGCUCCUGGCCAUGCAAAGACAGGAGCAGCAACCUCAGAAAGCAGUGGUUGCUGGGGCUCACACACACGCUGCCAACGAGCGACAGCGAGCCAUGGCUAGUUGGCAAACUGAGGGUUUCUCAGUUCUCAACAGAAGGAUUUGGAAGUCACUGGCAAGGUCAGCAUUUGUUACCCAUACCUAUAUUGCCUUUGAACUGAGUGGCUAUGUCAGAUGGCAGUUAAGAGUCAACCACAUUGCCGUGGGUCUGGAGUCACAUGUAGAGCAGACCAGGUAAGGGUGGCAGAUUUAACCAUAUUAUGGCUGCUAUAUAAAGCCCAAAUUGUUUGGCUAGAAGUGCAUAUCUGAAAGAGAAAAUGAAUCUUCUCUUUGUCUUGACUGUCAUAUUGAUGUUCAUCACAAUCUAGCAGAUUUGGGGUAAUUACCAUCAGCCAUGGCUCAAUUGGUAGCAUUCUCACCUGAGCUAUAGGUCUGGUUGAAGUCCCAAUCCAGGACUUGAGCAAAUUAAGAUUGACACACCAGUGCAGAACUAAGGGAGUGCUACACUUUGAAGGUACCAUUUUUCAGAUCAACGCUAAACAAGGCCCCAAUUCUCCUGGGGUAGAUGGCAUUAUUUUGAAGAAAAGCAGGCGAGUUUCCCAUGGCAUGCUGGCCAUUUUUUAUCCCCAAUCAACAUCACAAAAACAGACAAUCUGGUCAUUAUCACAUUGCUGUUUGCAGAAGCUGCUGUGUGAAAAUUGCCUGCUGCGUUUCCUGCAUUACAACAAGAACUACACUUCAAAAGUACCUCAUUGGCUGUAAAAUACACAGAGGCAUCCAGUGGUUAUGAAGAGCAGAAUAUAAAUGCAAAUAUUUUUAUUUUUGGGACCCCUACAUUGAAUUCAAGUUUUUUCACUUAACAUGGUGGAGUUUGAAAUCACGAUUUCUGGGCUGGUCAUCUCAUAUUGUAACCACCACGUUGCUGUACCCCAAUCAUUUUCUCCCCAUCAUAAUGCUCUGAUAGGGCAAUAAAAUCUUGUUACAUUUCUUAAGAUGUGGAUCAUGUCACCUUACACUUAAUGCCUCUGCCCAGUGUGGAUGUUGGGAAAUGUUUAAACUAACUUGGUGGGUGAUGGAAACAAAGAGGUAGCACGAGAGAGGAAAAACAAGGCCCAAGGAUUGUGAGGGCUGAAUCAGACAGUGAAUCACCUUCGGAUUGCCACUCCGCUCCUAUAUACUUAACUUCACUGGAGCUCCACAUUUCUCACCCAGACUUCCGAAAUGGGACCUCCUGAGAAAGGUGCAACCUACCUGCUCCUGGAGUAGUUCCCUCCUAGAUUAGGAGUGUUGGCAGGAGCCGAGCCAGGCCCACCUUUCUACAGCACUAGCUGCUGUAUACCGGCAAACGUCCCGAAGCCACUGACAAGCUAGGAGAGGUGGUGAGUCGGUGAGGGGUCAGGUGGUAGAUGGAUGGGUGAGGGGGGU